GCACUACUUCCACCUCUUCCUUUUCUCGGCUCAUUCCAAAGAGGAUUCACAUGGACAGUGUGGUCAGUUGAUGGAUAAUCACACCCUCCCAGCCUAGGAUGAACCUGGCGUUGGCCUACACUGAGCUGACAGAGGAGCUGGGUCGUGUGAGAGGUCUGGCUGUCAGACAGACUGAGAUCCUGAGGAAGGCAUCCCACAAGCAGAUGGGGCGGAGGAGAUACGAACACACGGCAGGCCGGUGCUAUUUUCCAGCCAGUCAGCAGGAUGUGCAUCAUAGUUCAUUGUGGGGGACAAACCAAGGCACCGACCAAGCUGCUGCUGUUUUUACAGGAAGCGGUAAAAAUAACCAAUCGCCAAAGGUUCCACCAUCCGGGACUUAGGGCCGGGGGUUGGGCUGGC